GACGAACGCUGGCGGCGUGCUUAACACAUGCAAGUCGAACGGAAAGGCCCUGCUUUUGUGGGGUGCUCGAGUGGCGAACGGGUGAGUAACACGUGAGUAACCUGCCCUUGACUUUGGGAUAACUUCAGGAAACUGGGGCUAAUACCGGAUAGGAGCUCCUGCUGCAUGGUGGGGGUUGGAAAGUUUCGGCGGUUGGGGAUGGACUGGCGGCUUAUCAGCUUGUUGGUGGGGUAGUGGCUUACCAAGGCUUUGACGGGUAGCCGGCCUGAGAGGGUGACCGGCGACAUUGGGACUGAGGUACGGCCCAGACUCCUACGGGAGGCAGCAGUGGGGAAUAUUGCACAAUGGGCGGAAGCCUGAUGCAGCAACGCCGCGUGCGGGAUGACGGCCUUCGGGUUGUAAACCGCUUUCGCCUGUGACGAAGCGUGAGUGACGGUAAUGGGUAAAGAAGCACCGGCUAACUACGUG
rnacentral:rRNA from 1 species